rnacentral:rRNA from 1 species
GUGGGGAAUAUUGCACAAUGGGCGGAAGCCUGAUGCAGCGACGCCGCGUGAGGGAUGACGGCCUUCGGGUUGUAAACCUCUUUCAGCAGGGACGAAGCGAAAGUGACGGUACCUGCAGAAGAAGCGCCGGCCAACUACGUGCCAGCAGCCGCGGUAAGACGUAGGGCGCGAGCGUUGUCCGGAUUUAUUGGGCGUAAAGAGCUCGUAGGCGGCUUGUCGCGUCGACUGUGAAAUCUCAGGGCUCAACUCUGACAUUGCAGUCGAUACGGGCAGGCUAGAGUUCGGUAGGGGAGACUGGAAUUCCUGGUGUAGCGGUGAAAUGCGCAGAUAUCAGGAGGAACACCGAUGGCGAAGGCAGGUCUCUGGGCCGAUACUGACGCUGAGGAGCGAAAGCGUGGGGAGCGAACAGGAUUAGAUACCCGAGUAGUCC